UACGUAGGGGCCUAGCGUUGUCCGGAUUUAUUGGGCGUAAAGAGCUCGUAGGCGGUUCGGUAAGUCAGGUGUGAAAUCUCCACGCUCAACGUGGAGGCGCCACCUGAAACUGCCGUGACUCGAGUCCGGUAGGGGAGUGUGGAAUUCCCGGUGUAGCGGUGAAAUUCGUAGAUAUUGGGAAGAACACCGGUGGCGAAGGCGGCGCUCUGGACCGAGACUGACGCUGAGGCGCGAAGGCGUGGGGAGCAAACAGG
rnacentral:rRNA from 1 species